rnacentral:lncRNA from 1 species
GGGGGACGGACAGUAAAUGCAAGGACCAUUUUUCCUUUGCUUUUUCAAUUCCACACACAGAAACACAAAAUUCCAAAAAUGGAUUCUUCUUCACAACACACACCACACAGAGACUCCAUUAACGUACACUCUCACUGAGCCAUACACACACACCCACACUCAAUUCACACACGGUAACCAGCCUCCACACACGCAUUGGGGCGGAAAGAUGAGAGAUUGAGGGUAACCAGAGAUCGGUGAAAUUGAGAGAAUCAGGGGAAAGAGAGUAAGUCUAUAGGGAGAUCGGAAAACGGUGAAGAAUCGAACAUUGGGGAAGAAGAGAGUGCAGAGAAAUAGCGAGAGAGCAACGGGGUUAGUUUGUUCCGGCGACCUAUCGCCGGUGAUCUCUGCCGACCAAAACGUCCCAUCGACAACCAUCAGCUCCCGUGCAUAUUUUCCGGCCAAAUCAUCCCAAAAGCUCACCUGAAAUCAAUUCGAGAACAGCGACCAAACGGUUUGAACGCACCCACCAAAAAAUGCCGUUGAAUCAACGUGGUUUCGGUCCGACAGUUACCGGAAAUAGCUGACCAAACAACCUUUAUUUUCUAAAUUUCAUCCUUGUCUCGCUGGAAUCGGCUUUUCUGUUCAAAUAUCGAGUUGGCAGGUCCGCAGUGAGUUCGUAAGGUCGAGGUUUCAAACUUGGUUCCAAUCUGUUGGUGGUGUCGAACAAUUUGGGACUGAAAUAAAAAUUGAGGUCCAAUUCUAUCUUCUCUCGCUUUAAUUUUUACAUUAUCGUGAAUGAUUUGUUGUUUGGUAUGUUUGAAUUUUGAUUGCGUGUUGGUUGAUGUUGGAUUUGAGUGUUGAAAAGUGAAUUGAUAAUUGAAGCAUAUGUUAAUCAUUGGUUGAUAAGAAUGAAGUUGGGGGCGGAAAUCGAAAAUUGAUAAAAGCGAAUAUUAUAGUAUUUUGAUUCAUUGUUGAUGUUGAACGUGAUAUGUCAUCGAACGGGUAGGCAAGCACUAGGGUCGGGUAGGCAAAUUUUAGAAUUGUUGAAUUGUUGGAAUGUUUGGAAUAUUUGUUGAAUGUUUUGUUUAUUGUAUUUGAAAAGCGUAUUUAUUUAACCGGGGAAUGCCCCGAAUAAUUUUGUAUGCAAAGAAUGCUCGUGAUCAAGGCCCAAGGCAUCGGGUAAAGCAUAGUUUAGGACUAGUGUAGGUUAGUUUAGUAUUUUUAUUUUGGGACUGUAUAACUCGGACUGGACACUAUAUUUCGGAUCCCUUUUGUUUUUGUUUGUUUGUUUGAUUGUUUUAGAUGUUUUUGUGUGGUUUGUACAUCGUAGUGUCAAUUUAGCCGAUACGCUCUGCCAAGCGACCAUGGUCGAACCACGGGAUCGAGGAGUGCCUAACACCUUCCCCUCGGUCAACAGAAUUCCUUAGCCGGAAUCUCUGUUCGCAGAUCAGUUUAAAAGAGUCAAAAUUGUUUUCGAAAAAGGAUUUUCAACGGUGACUUGGCACACCAGAUUCUGCCAAGUGGCGACUCUGAGUUCAAAUAUAAAUAAUCCUUUUCGAAACAAAAUUUUCAUUUUUUGUCACUUUAAUAAAAGCCCUUUCGAAACUAAAAAUAAAAAUUCAUUAUUUAUUUAUUUUUUGAGUCGAAAAAGGGGUGUGACAAGGGGCUGCCUCUUCUUUUCUAGCUUGCGCUCGAAACUAUGGCACCUAUAUCGUUUAGGUCAACAACAUCAUCAUCAUCAAACUGAAAGGUAUAUAGAUAGUGUUGUUGCGUCUGGCCUCUUCAUUUAGUGCAGCUUGAGGGGCUGCCUCUUCUUUUCUAGCUUGCUCAUUAGCUGCAACUUGGUUUUACACUUCAGCUAAUCGAGCUGCCUUACGUAGUUGCGCCCUCUCUAAUUUCUCAGCCAACAUCCUGGUUGUGGCUUCCUAUGGAUUCCUUGCUUUACCAUUCUCCUCAAAGUUCUUUCAAGUUCGAGAACGAUUGAAAUCAGUGGAUUACCUUAACUCUGAGUGUUGGGCAUACACAAAUGUGUAUCCUAAGAACAAACAAAAACAACAAAAAACUAAAUAAGGAAUUAAGGACUAAUAUUUAAAUAAAUACAAUUGAUCUAAGCCUAAACCAUAUUUCUCGGCAACGGUGCCAAAAGUUGAUGUCGCCCAAAUUACACCUUGAAAUCAAAGUAUAAAACAGUCGCUAAAUCAAAUAUAUCGGGGUCAAUCUCAGGGAAUAUGGCUAGGAACUAGUUUAAUGCAGUUAUACAACCUAAUAGUCAGUUAUAUUCAAAGGGGGGAAUAAAAAGACAAGUAACAAUUUGCAAUUUUAAAUAUCAAGGAUGCAGAAUUUGUUGUUUGUAAUCAGUUAAUGAGAAUGAACUAGGUUUGUGCUCUCUAUGAUUUCAUAACUGUAACACUCAAAAAUACAAACUAAGAUUAGAACCACUCUUCGAGUGUGUGUAGACCCAACUUAAUGAUUUGAACUCUUGUACAGAAUACGAGUAACCAACGACCGUCCCUUGGAUGGACUGAGGAACUCCAGAGAAGCCAUCAAGACCUCCCCCUAAUCAAAGAGUCAACCAACGAUCGUUGGAUCAUGGGUUCGCCCGUCAGGAUACUUAGAUUUUUCAGUUAUGUUUAUUUAGGGGCAUAUUCGGUCUUUUUCCAAUAUUUAGCCUCCUAAAAUAUGUUGGGGAAUAAAUUGAAAAACUCACUGACGAUAUGCAAAUCACCCAUCAAUGAGCUCCUUAAUAGGGGAAAGAAGAAAGAAUCAGAAAAAUAUAGCUAAUAGGCGAGAACACAAUUUCACUACCAACUAGAAAAUGAAGACAAGUCAAACUUGUUGGAACUUACCUAGGGUUAAUCCAGCAUAAAUGGAGACAAGAUUAAACAUAAAUCAUUCACCGAUGAGCUCCUGUCAAUAGGGGAACAAAGAGGGAAAAAGAAAGAAGAAAUUGAUCAGUUUUGGAAGAAGACUACAAAAAAAAAACAACUUUUGCUGCAAAGUGC